rnacentral:rRNA from 1 species
UACGUAGGGUGCAAGCGUUGUCCGGAAUUAUUGGGCGUAAAGAGCUCGUAGGCGGUCUGUCGCGUCUGCUGUGAAAACUCAGGGCUUAACCCUGAGCUUGCAGUGGGUACGGGCAGACUAGAGUGCGGUAGGGGAGUCUGGAAUUCCUGGUGUAGCGGUGAAAUGCGCAGAUAUCAGGAGGAACACCGGUGGCGAAGGCGGGACUCUGGGCCGAUACUGACGCUGAGGAGCGAAAGCGUGGGGAGCGAACAGG